AAGCUGACCGAGAACUCCCCAAUCUUAGCAUUCAUAUCCUUGUCUAAUAGAACACCGCAGAUACAGAAUUUCAUGGCUAUAUUCUUUAAGACUUAAGUCCUCUCUUUCCAACUCAAGAUAUUUAUCUCUUCGUCACAUUUGAAGUUUCGUCCAAAUGUCCGUUCUCCAUGUAAUCACAAACAAGCAUCAAGUGUCCUUUUUCUCUAUUGCACUGACCUAAUCGAACGAGGUUUCUGUGUUUUAUCCUUCCUGCGCUGGAGACUUCGACUGAUCAAAUCUUCUCCUUCACGAUACGCAGCAUCAUGUGAAGCUAAUGAGCCCAAAAUACUCUGAUGGAUUUGUGCUGUUAGCGCUCUUGACAGCGAAAACAAGGAAGAAAGGCCAUUAUUGGUAAGAGCAUAUUUAACUAGGGAAAUUGAGAAAAUGUAGGAGGUGGCGAACCGAAGGUGGAACGAUUAGGCUGUUCUGUAGGUAAUUGAGAAUAUCGGACCGUUUAAUUAUUUCAGCAUUUAAUGUCUAUAAUAUUUAUUUAUCUCAUCCAAGAUUGAGGCGUAAUUCAUUUGUGCUUGAGCGUUUACUUACCCGAUUCUUUAACAACUUUGAACUGCAAAUGAAGUUUGUUUGCCCUGU